rnacentral:rRNA from 1 species
CGGCAGCCCGAGUGGUGAUCACUAUUAUUGGGUCUAAAGGGUCCGUAGCCGGUUUGAUCAGUCUUUUGGGAAAUCUGACAGCUUAACUGUCAGGCUUCCAAAGGAUACUGUCAGACUUGGGACCGGGAGAGGUAAGAGGUACUACAGGGGUAGGAGUGAAAUCUUGCAAUCCCUGUGGGACCACCAGUGGCGAAGGCGUCUUACCAGAACGGGUCCGACGGUGAGGGACGAAAGCUGGGGGCACGAACCGGAUUAGAUACCCGAGUAGUCC